rnacentral:piRNA from 1 species
UCUGGAAAGAUGGCUCAGUGGUU